rnacentral:lncRNA from 1 species
CGUUAUCAACCUCUGAAAACUCACAUGCAACACAAGAACAUUCAGAGCUUACUUGACCUAUGCUCUCCUGUAUGCACAUGUACGCACAAGCAAUAUCACAUGCUUCUGCUCAGCAGUACUUUUUGUCCAUUUCCACUUUAGCACUAGAUAUUAUACUACAAUCACAUGACAAAAACUAUACUAUUAUUACAUCAAAUCUUGAAAAUUAAAAUCACACUUUAGCUUCACUGCAGUAAAAACAUCACAGCUUUGGAUCAUUUCAUAUUCACUACCCACAACCCGAUCCAUUUCUCGGGUUACCCAUCAACAAGCC